GAUGAACGCUGGCGGCGUGCUUAACACAUGCAAGUCGAACGAAGCACCUUGAUUCGAUUCUUCGGAUGCAGAUCUUGGUGACUGAGUGGCGGACGGGUGAGUAACGCGUGGGUAACCUGCCUCAUACAGGGGGAUAACAGUUAGAAAUGACUGCUAAUACCGCAUAAGACCACAGCACCGCAUGGUGCAGGGGUAAAAACUCCGGUGGUAUGAGAUGGACCCGCGUCUGAUUAGGUAGUUGGUGGGGUAACGGCCUACCAAGCCGACGAUCAGUAGCCGAGCUGAGAGGGUGACCGGCGACAUUGGGACUGGGCCGCAGCCCGAAAUCCUACGGGAGGCGGCAGAGGGUAAUAUAGCACAAUGGGGGAAACCCUGAUGCAGCGACGCCGCGUGAGCGAUGAAGUAUUUCGGUAUGUAAAGCUCUAUAAGCAGGGAAGAAAAUGACGGUACCUGACUAAGAAGCACCGGCUAAAUACGUG
rnacentral:rRNA from 1 species